rnacentral:rRNA from 1 species
GACGAACGCUGGCGGCGUGCUUAACACAUGCGAGUCGAACGGUGAAGCGCUUUCCUUUUUGGUUGGUGUGGAUGAGUGGCGAACGGGUGAGUAACGCGUGAGUAACCUGCCCCCUUCUUCUGGAUAACCGCAUGAAAGUGUGGCUAAUACGGGAUAUUCUGCGCCUGCUGCAUGGUGGGUGUGGGAAAGAUUGUGCCUUUGGGUGUUUUCGGUGGGGGAUGGGCUCGCGGCCUAUCAGCUUGUUGGUGGGGUGAUGGCCUACCAAGGCGGUGACGGGUAGCCGGCCUGAGAGGGUGGACGGUCACACUGGGACUGAGACACGGCCCAGACUCCUACGGGAGGCAGCAGUGGGGAAUAUUGCACAAUGGGCGCAAGCCUGAUGCAGCGACGCCGCGUGAGGGAUGGAGGCCUUCGGGUUGUGAACCUCUUUCGCCAGUGAAGCAGGCCUGCUCCUUGUGGGUGGGUUGACGGUAGCUGGAUAAGAAGCGCCGGCUAACUACGUG